AGCAGCCGCGGUAAUUCCAGCUCCAAUAGCGUAUAUUAAAGUUGUUGCAGUUAAAAAGCUCGUAGUUGAAUUUCGGGAUCAGUACGUCGGUCGUGCCUCUGGUAUGUACUGGUGUUACUGGUUCCUCCCUUCUGAAGAACUGUCAUGUCAUUUAUUUGGUGUGGCGGGGAAUCAGGACUGUUACUUUGAAAAAUUAGAGUGUUUAAAGCAGGCUCGCGCUUGAAUACAUUAGCAUGGAAUAAUGAAAUAGGACGUUUGAUCCUAUUUUGUUGGUUUCUAGGAUUGACGUAAUGAUUAAUAGGGAUAGUUGGGGGCAUUAGUAUUCAAUUGUCAGAGGUGAAAUUCUUGGAUUUAUUGAAGACUAACUACUGCGAAAGCAUUUGCCAAGGAUGUUUUCAUUAAUCAAGAACGAAAGUUAGGGGAUCGAAGACGAUCAGAUACCGUCGUAGUCUUAACCAUAAACUAUGCCGACUAGGGAUCGGAUGAUGUUAAUUUUUAAUGA
rnacentral:rRNA from 1 species